rnacentral:rRNA from 1 species
AGGUCUUGCCUGCCCAGUGACAAUGUUAAACGGCCGCGGUAUUUUGACCGUGCGAAGGUAGCGCAAUCACUUGUCUUUUAAAUGAAGACCUGUAUGAAUGGUGAAACGAGGGCUUAACUGUCUCCCUUUUCUAGUCAAUGAAAUUGAUCUGCCCGUGCAGAAGCGGACAUAAAAAUACAAGACGAGAAGACCCUUUGGAGCUUAAGAUAUAAAGAUCAUCUAUGUCAAUGAGCCCCAACACGGCAGCAAACUAAAUAGCAACUGAUCUUAAUCUUCGGUUGGGGCGACCACGGGAGAAAAUAAAGCUCCCACGCGGACUGGGGUAAACCCUAAAACCAAGAAAAACAUUUCUAAGCAACAGAACUUCUGACCAUUAAGAUCCGGCUACACGCCGAUCAACGGACCAAGUUACCCUAGGGAUAACAGCGCAAUCCCCUUUCAGAGUCCAUAUCGACAAGGGGGUUUACGACCUCGAUGUUGGAUCAGGACAUCCUAAUGGUGCAGCCGCUAUUAAGGGUUCGUUUGUUCAACGAUUAAAGUCCUACGUGAUCUGAGUUCAGACCGG